UGGGGAAUUUUCCGCAAUGGGCGAAAGCCUGACGGAGCAACGCCGCGUGAGGGAGGAAUGUCUUUGGAUUGUAAACCUCUUUUCUCAAGGAAGAUAAUGACGGUACUUGAGGAAUCAGCAUCGGCUAACUCCGUGCCAGCAGCCGCGGUAAUACGGGGGAUGCAAGCGUUAUCCGGAAUUAUUGGGCGUAAAGCGUCCGUAGGCGGCUAGUCAAGUCUGCUGUUAAAGCGUGCAGCUUAACUGCAUAUAGGCGGUGGAAACUGAUUAGCUUGAGUAUGGUAGGGGUAGAGGGAAUUCCCGGUGUAGCGGUGAAAUGCGUAGAUAUCGGGAAGAACACCAGUGGCGAAGGCGCUCUACUGGGCCAUAACUGACGCUGAUGGACGAAAGCCAGGGGAGCGAAAGGGAUUAGAUACCCCCGUAGUCC
rnacentral:rRNA from 1 species